rnacentral:rRNA from 1 species
CCUACGGGAGGCAGCAGUAAGGAAUAUUGGACAAUGGACGCAAGUCUGAUCCAGCCAUGCCGCGUGAAGGAUUAAGGCCCUCUGGGUUGUAAACUUCUUUUAUAGGGGACGAAAAAAGGGCUUUCUAGCUCGACUGACGGUACCCUAUGAAUAAGCACCGGCUAACUCCGUGCCAGCAGCCGCGGUAAUACGGAGGGUGCAAGCGUUAUCCGGAUUCACUGGGUUUAAAGGGUGCGUAGGCGGGCAGUUAAGUCAGUGGUGAAAUCUUCGAGCUCAACUCGGAAACUGCCAUUGAUACUAUCUGUCUUGAAUAUUGUGGAGGUGAGCGGAAUAUGUCAUGUAGCGGUGAAAUGCUUAGAUAUGACAUAGAACACCAAUUGCGUAGGCAGCUCGCUACACAAAUAUUGACGCUGAGGCACGAAAGCGUGGGGAUCAAACAGGAUUAGAUACCCUGGUAGUCCACGCCCUAAACUAUGAUUACUCGACAUAUGCGAUACACUGUAUGUGUCUGAGCGAAAGCAUUAAGAAUCCACCUGGAAGUACGACCGCAAGGUUGAAACGUCAAAUGAAUUGACGGCUUGAGGACGNGCGAGCGACACGAGGGAGAGG